GACGAACCUCUGGUGUACCGGUUGUGACGCCAGUCGCAUUGCCGGGUAGCUAAGUUCGGAAGAGAUAACCGCUGAAAGCAUCUAAGCGGGAAACUUGCCUGAAGAUGAGACUUCCCUGGGCCCUUGAGGUCCCUGAAGAGUCGUUCGAGACCAGGACGUUGAUAGGUCGGGUGUGGAAGCGCUGUGAGGCGUUAAGCUAACCGAUACUAAUUGCUCGUGAGGCUUGAUCCU
rnacentral:rRNA from 1 species